CUACGGGUGGCAGCAGUGGGGAAUAUUGCACAAUGGGCGGAAGCCUGAACCAGCCAAGUCGCGUGAGGGAGUAAGGCCCUACGGGUCGUAAACCUCUUUUGCCGGGGAGCAGUGCCCAGCUCGUGAGCUGGGAGGGAGCGUACCCGGAGAAAAAGCAUCGGCUAACUCCGUGCCAGCAGCCGCGGUAAUACGGAGGAUGCGAGCGUUAUCCGGAUUUAUUGGGUUUAAAGGGUGGGUAGGCGGGCCUUCCGGCUGGCGGUAAAAGUGCGGGGCUCAAGCACGCCGAGCCGUCGGAACCGGGGGCCUUGAGUACCGGAGAAGUACGCGGAAUGCGUGGUGUAGCGGUGAAAUGCAUAGAUAUCACGCAGAACCCCGAUUGCGAAGGCAGCGUACCGGCCGGUCACUGACGCUGAGGCACGAAAGCGCGGGUAUCGAACAGGAUUAGAUACCCUAGUAGUC
rnacentral:rRNA from 1 species